UACGGAGGGUGCAAGCGUUAAUCGGAAUUACUGGGCGUAAAGCGUACGCAGGCGGUUUGUUAAGUCAGCUGUGAAAGCCCCGGGCUCAACCUGGGAACUGCAGUUGAUACUGGCAAGCUAGAGUAUGGGAGAGGGUUGUGGAAUUCCACGUGUAGCGGUGAAAUGCGUAGAUAUGUGGAGGAACACCAGUGGCGAAGGCGACAGCCUGGCCCAAUACUGACGCUCAUGUACGAAAGCGUGGGGAGCAAACAGG
rnacentral:rRNA from 1 species